rnacentral:lncRNA from 1 species
GACGGUCUAGCGUUAUGGACCAAAGCCAUUUUAUUCAAUACCAAAGUUGACAACUAAUACUGUUUUUUAGCAUUAGAUGCCACUUUCAACUACUAACAAAUCCGACAUUAUACAGUAAAAGUGCACAACCAUUGUUAGAUGAGAAGUUUAUGGUUUAUUUGUAUAUUAGCUAUUUCUUUUGCAGAUUUCCAUAAUUACAUCUUAUUAUGAAAAUAGAAAGUAGUGAUGAUAGUGAGUGUUUUUUGGGGGGGCUCUAGCUAGAUUAUUGAUCAAUUUAAAAAAUAAAUGACAGAUAAACGAAUGUCGAUUCUUUGAACCGCAGUGUUUUACUCUGAUUGAGCACCAACCACAUCCUUCGCUAUCCAAAUACGGCUGUUUAGGGCCGCGAAGUUUUCAAUAAAACCGCUUCCAGAUAAAACGUUAUUGUUAAAACAGCCUUAAACCAUUUUAACAUCUUCCAUUAACGUUCAGUUCAAAUGUAAGUCCAUGUUGAAAUUCCUAUGCAUGGCAACCACGUAAUUAAUUUGCAGGGACAAACAGGAAAUUAAAAAAAAAAGAUUGACUUGGUUUCUGACCUAUCAGAGCUAAGAAUGUCUUAUAAUUGGAAUUGUUGUCACAGACUCGAGAUCUGAUUGGUUACCGCCUGGCGACACAAGCCUGGUGUAAUAUGAUUGGAUAAAAACUUUACAAUAAUAUACAACAGUCGGAGCGGCGAAACCGAGCGGAUAUAAUAUGACACGAAGAAAACAGACCAUGGAGAAUCAUUUAUGACCUCUCUACAAACAAAAUCUGACCAUGUUUAGGCUAGCAAAAAACGUUUUGCUGCGUCUGACGGCCGCCACUGCGUCCGAGUUUGCGUUGCCACGCACUCCCGUGCACGUGCGUCAAAACCAUGGUAACCAGCUCUGAGUUAAUAAAAGGAGCGCAGCUAUGUGAUUUUACACAUUUGCCUCUGGUCUUGGAGACAUUGGCAGCAAAACAAAAAUCUGCGACCGUAUUAAUUUGUUUUGCUGGAGCAAUGGAGCGCCACUUGCCCCCGAGGAUCUGGCAGCUCUGGAGAAGGUUCAGACGGUGGAGCCGCCUAGGCAGACAGCGGUGGCAGCCGGAGGGGGAAGUUGCUGUGCACGGUCCACCUAGACUUCCUCCACCUAGACGUCGGAGACCUCGUUGUGACCCACCCACUUCCCACGUUCAGGAAGUUGGUCCCCCCACCUCUGACAUUGAGGUACCCC